GGGAUAGCCCCGGGAAACCGGGGGUAAUACCGCAUAAGUUCCGUAUGACAUAAGUCACUCGGUGGAAAGGCGGGGAUCUUCGGACCUGUCGCCUCUAGAUGAGCCCGCGUCCGAUUAGCUAGUUGGUGAGGUAAUGGCUCACCAAGGCUUCGAUCGGUAGCCGGCCUGAGAGGGUGAACGGCCACAUUGGGACUGAGACACGGCCCAGACUCCUACGGGAGGCAGCAGUGGGGAAUUUUGGGCAAUGGGGGAAACCCUGACCCAGCGACGCCGCGUGGAGGAUGAAGGCCUUCGGGUUGUAAACUCCUGUCAGGUGGGAAGAAGAGCUUCGUGGAUAAUACCCACGAGGAAUUGACGGUACCACCAAAGGAAGCCCCGGCUAACUCCGUGCCAGCAGCCGCGGUAAUACGGGGGGCGCAAGCGUUAUUNGGAAUUAUUGGGCGUAAAGGGCGCGCAGGCGGUCUUGUCCGUCAGGUGUGAAAGCUCGGGGCUCAACCCCGGAAGUGCACUUGAAACAGCAAGACUUGAAUACGGGAGAGGAGAGAGGAAUUCCUGGUGUAGAGGUGAAAUUNGUAGAUAUCAGGAGGAACACCGAUGGCGAAGGCAUCUCUCUGGACCGAUAUUGACGCUGAGGCGCGAAGGCGUGGGUAGCGAACGGGAUUAGAUACCCCGGUAGUCCACGCAGUAAACGUUGUACACUCGGUGUGGCGGAUAUUAAAAUCUGCUGUGCCCAAGCUAACGCAUUAAGUGUACCGCCUGGGAAGUACGGUCGCAAGACUAAAACUCAA
rnacentral:rRNA from 1 species